rnacentral:rRNA from 1 species
CAGCCGUAAACUAUGCGCGUUAGGUGUAUCGGUGACCACGAGUUACCGAGGUGCCGAAGGGAAACCGUGAAACGUGCCGCCUGGGAAGUAUGGUCGCAAGGCUGAAACUUAAAGGAAUUGGCGGGGGAGCACCACAACAGGUGGAGCCUGCGGUUUAAUUGGACUCAACGCCGGGAAGCUCACCGGAUAGGACAGCAGAAUGAUUGCCGGGCUGAAGACCCUGCAUGACUAGCUGAGAGGUGGUGCAUGGCGUCAGUGACU